GUUAGUCUGUGGAUGGUAAGGUGAGCUAAGCAGCGGUUUAAUACCGCACACCUUCCACAGUUGCUGGGUGAGCACAGCGGUGAAUUGGGUUCCCUGGUCAGAGAGAAUCUCUUGAGGGAACCCGACUCUGGUGAAAAUCCUAACCAGGGCGUCAGCAACUGUCUCUGCCUCUAUAUUAGACAGCGCUACUGCCUCUGGAUAGCGAGUGGCAUAAUCCACCACGGUGAGAAUAUAUUUCUUACCGGAUGGACUAGCCCUGGCCAGUGGACCCACAAUGUCAACGGCUUUGCGGGCAAAGGGCUCCCCAAUGAUAGGCAUAGACAUAAGCCUAGCUCUUGGGUGGUCCCCCCGCUUCCCUAUCCGUUGACAUGUGUCACACGUACUGCAGUAUGUCCGCACAGCCUGAUUGAAGUUUGGCCAAAAAAAGUUCUGC